rnacentral:rRNA from 1 species
CCUACGGGUGGCAGCAGUGAGGAAUAUUGGUCAAUGGGCGGAAGCCUGAACCAGCCAAGUAGCGUGCAGGAUGACGGCCCUACGGGUUGUAAACUGCUUUUAUACGGGAAUAACGCGCCUUACGUGUAGGGCUUUGCAUGUACCGUAUGAAUAAGGACCGGGUCAUUCCGUGCCAGCAGCCGCGGUAAUACGGAAGGUCCGGGCGUUAUCCGGAUUUAUUGGGUUUAACGGGAGCGUAGGCCGCAUGUCAAGCGUGCUGUGAAAUGUCCGGGCUCAACCCGGGCCUUGCAGCGCGAACUGGCGUGCUUGAGUCCGCGGAAAGCAGGCGGAAUUCGUCGUGUAGCGGUGAAAUGCGUAGAGAUGACGAAGAACCCCGAUGGCGAAGGCAGCUUGCUGCAGCGGAACUGACGCUGAUGCUCGAAAGCGCGGGUAGCGAACAGGAUUAGAUACCCUUGUAGUC